AAAAGGGCAAUCUUGACCCAUGAUCGUCAAGAUUUUGCUCAAUCUACAAAAUGGAGAUCUGGGUUGUUUAAAUUCUUUCAGAUUUUCCCAUUUCGUUCAGAUUUCGUGUUUUUUUUCUUUAAUUUCAUCGGAUUUCGGGAAAAUCUCGAAAAAAUAUGGACCAUUCAAGAUUCAUCACUCCUAUAAAUCCCAAGAUUUUUUCUUGAUUUUGAUGGGAGGAGGAGGAGAAGGAGAAGAAUGCCUCGAGAAGAACACAUUUUAGGGGUCUAGUAGCUACAGCGGCGGCGGCGCCGCCGCCGGCGGCGCCGGCGGUGGUUGCAG
rnacentral:lncRNA from 1 species